UCUGGCUAAGUUGUUCCUUUCUUAACUGGCAAUAAUGUUCUAUCUUUUUUCCCCUUUUUGAAUUAUCCUUUUAUAGCUGUGAUUUCAUCAUCCAUAAUUGUAUCUUCCUACUACCAGAGAAUUUUAGAAAUCUCUUCAAAGAGCUACUCCAAACAUAUGAAGACAUUCCAGAUUGGACACACUCACUGACCAGCUGAUCUUCAAGUUGUCUGUGGAAGCCUACUUCGUUCCUCAUCCAAAAGGAAGGUAUGAUAGCUGGAGCUGUUAGCCAAGCCAUGGAAAGUGAUCACAUUGCUGGAUUCCAACAUUUCUGCAAGGUAACAAAGCAACAGACUGGGUGUUAAGGCCUCUUGCAAGGCAGAGAAGUCAUUGAUGAAGGGCACAGCAGAGAAGGAGAGUCAUGGAUAAUGGGCAUAACAGAGAAGAUCUGUUCACUUCACUGCAGCCAGGAAGCCAAGAGAGUUGCAAAGAAACCAGGGACAAGGCACCCAUUUCAAAGGCUUCCUCUCAGUGUCCUGUUUUCUCUUUCCAGUUCCUGCCUUCCAGCUCCCACUAUCUCACAAUAAUGUUAUCAUAAUAUGGAAGCAUUGAUGAAGGAAUCUACUGAUUAGGUCACAGCCCUCAUAAAUCAAUCAUCUCUCAAAGAUUGACUUUUCCAGGCUACAAGUAGGUUUGGGGGACAUGGUAUGCAAACAAAGUAGGUACUAACUUGUUAACACCAAAAAUUUUGUAUGUUAAAGGGAUAAA